rnacentral:rRNA from 1 species
UGCAGCCUGAUCCAGCCAUGCCGCGUGUGUGAAGAAGGCCUUCGGGUUGUAAAGCCCUUUUGUCGGGAAAGAAAUCCCCCGGGUUAAUACCCCGGGGGGAUGACGGUACCCGAAGAAUAAGCACCGGCUAACUACGUGCCAGCAGCCGCGGUAAUACGAAGGGUGCAAGCGUUAAUCGGAAUUACUGGGCGUAAAGCGUGCGCAGGCGGUUUUGUAAGACCGAUGUGAAAUCCCCGGGCUCAACCUGGGAACUGCAUUGGAGACUGCGCGACUAGAGUGUGUCAGAGGGGGGUAGAAUUCCUGGUGUAGCAGUGAAAUGCGUAGAGAUGUGGAGGAAUACCGAUGGCGAAGGCAGCCCCCUGGAACAACACUGACGCUCAUGCACGAAAGCGUGGGGAGCAAACAGGAUUAGAUACCCUGGUAGUCCACGCCCUAAACGAUGUCAACUAGUUGUUGGGGAUUCUUUUCCUCGGUAACGCAGCUAACGCGUGAAGUUGACCGCCUGGGGAGUAACGGCUCGCAAAAUAAAAAUCCAAGGAAUUUUUUUCCGGGGG